GUAUCAUCACCCAGCUGAGAAGUAUGUUGCUAAAUGACCCUAUUAGUGUCCUAUAUAACAGUGCAUAACAACAGCAGAAACAUUCAGAGGAGGAGAGCACGAAUGCGGAGGCUAAAGGCUGUGUUCACAAAUGGAGAGGGUCACACUCUAUGCUAUGUCCAAAUAUAUUUGGAUGUAUCAAAAGACCUCAGUUUCGACUACCGCCUGUCGAAGCAAUCAAUCAAGGCCCUGGUAGCCCUUCUCAGGAGGGAGAAGACCCAUGGCUGGGUCCAGUAUAUUGAGGUCCUCCUGGUGGUGUAUUGGCUGGCACAUGGGUUGUCCUACACUUUACAACAGUUUUUGAUAUUGUUCACAGAAUGUGUGAUGCUAUCCUUUGUAUUAUACAAAAGGUAAUCCAUUUCCCCACACUGGCACAGUGUGCUGAAGUUGGCAAUGGCUUUCAUCACCUUGCCAACAGCCCAGCCUUCAGCCACUGUGUGGGAGCUAUAGAUGAAUGUCACGUCCGCAUCGAGGCUCAAAAUACACCCCAUACCCAGGACUACCUGAACAGGAAACUGUUUUAAUCCGUCCAGCUUCAGGGAAUCUGUGACAGCAAAGGCACAUUUCUGGACAUUUUUGUGGGUUACCCUGGUUUGGUCCACGACACCAGGGUGCUCAGGAACAGUCCAGUUUUUGUGAGGGGCUGUUACCCGCCAGCUGGCCAUUUCAGUGAGUUGUUACCCGUGCCUGAGUAAACCACACUUCAUCACACCUUACUGGUAACAAUUGAGGGGUAGAGUGGAGGCUCGCUUUAAAAGACACCAUGCCUGAGCCUGAUCGGUAAUCGAGAGAGCUUUUAGGAUGAUGAAGCCACAGUGGCUGGAAUCUUUAUCAAGGUCCUGGAAGUUGACCAAACCUUUUCCCCUAAGGUUGUAGGAGUGUGUGCAGUGUUCCACAACAUUUGUUUGACUGCUGGGGAUAUCCUGGAGCCAACUGAAGAGGAGGAUCCAGGGCCGCCACCACCACCGCCACCUGUGCAGAGGGAUGAAUGUUGCGGUCAAUAUUAUAAGAAAAGACUGGCAGCACAAGUGUCAGCCCCACAUCAGUGUCCUUCACCCCUGCAGGACCAUGAUUAUUUCCUUUUAUAGUAAGUUUAUUAAUGGCUGACAUUCCCUUUUCUAUAUGCAUCCAUUCCCCAUAAAUACAUGUUGCAAACGCAAUUUUUUGUGUCUCUUGUGUUGCGGGUUGCCAUAUUUAUUGGUUAGGCAUGUUUAUACUCCUGUCCCACAGCAACUAUAAGUUCCAUCUUUUUCAUGUAUGUUCAGCCUUUUUCUUUUUUAAAUCAUGGAUUGUUAGGGUGUUCAAAGUUUUUAUUUUAGGGAGUUUUUCCUCACUCGGAUGCAAGCGUCUAAGGACAAAGGGUGUCGUACUGUACACAUUAUAAAGCCCCCUGAGGCAGUUUUUUGUUCUUUUGCUUCAUAAAUGAACUGACAUUUGGCUGAUAUUUCAUUGUAGUAGGUCUGUCUUUUUGUUUCUAAUAACACAACACACAGUAUUUUGCAUUCAUAUCAGAAAUCUUGUUUACAGUAACAGUUCUGUUAAAAAAUAAAAAUCUCUGACAUGCUUUUGGUAAUCUUGAAAUCAGCUGUGACAGGUGGGCUAGGUUGUUAGCGGAUAUAUUAGU